rnacentral:rRNA from 1 species
UGGGUAACCUGCCUCAAAGAGGGGAAUAGCCUCCCGAAAGGGAGAUUAAUACCGCAUAAUAUGUUUAGGUCGCAUGACUUUAACAUCAAAGGAUUUUCUUUUAGAAAUUCCACUUUGAGAUGGACCCGCGGCGCAUUAGCUAGUUGGUGAGGUAACGGCUCACCUAGGCAACGAUGCGUAGCCGACCUGAGAGGGUGAUCGGCCACAUUGGAACUGAGACACGGUCCAGCCUCCGUAGG